CUGCCCGGCCGGCCGGGGAGAGGCGAGCCCGGGGCCGCCCGCACCUGAGGCGGGCAGGGCAGGGCCGAGGCUCCGCAGCCGGCGGCCGCCUCUCGCCGCCUCCCUCCCACCCUCCUUCCUCCUGCUGCAGCCUCCAAGGACGCAGGGUUCAGACACAGGAGCACCUCGUGUUUUCAGUGGCAUCCCCAGGGAAUGCCACCCCUGCAAGCCUCGCCUGUCUUGUGUCUUCAAACCAUCACAGCUAAGGACAACACACCUUUCCCAGGGCUGCAAGAUAUGGUCCACCGCCCUCAUGAUCCAACAGCUACACCUUCCUGCAGAUAGAUAUUUGCAUGCUGUGUUUGAAGAACAAAAAGAUCAUUCCGUCUUGUACAUCUGUGACACAUUUACCCAGGAUGCAGGAAGACCACUUUGUUUUCUUCUUGGCCUGAGUAGAGUGUUUGACCUACUUCCCAUGAAAGUUUCCUAACGAUGAACCUCAAGGAUACAUUGGACAGCAUUCUUUCUCCCUAUUUCCUGCUGAAACGGUAAACUUAUGUAGGAAAAAAAAAGUUUAAUUUGUGAAAAUGGGAAGAAAACCAGAAGGGGGUCAUAUGUUCAGGUCCAUGAGAAGUAAAUGCUUCCAUGUGUUCCAGGAACACACAUAAUAUACCAAAGCCGAAUCUCUGUAUUAGGUGAAAGCCCUAAACACCAGACUUCCUAGUUCUGUUCGGUUUUCUGAAACAGUAAAUCUUUAUGUGUGUGUGUGUUUUUGUUGUUGUUGUUGUUUUUUCCUUCAAGACUAAAGAAGAGAAGCAUCUGGUCAUUUGAUCCCAGCUGAGGUAGGUUUGUAGACCAGCACGAAGCAGAUCUGAAUUAGGCUGAAUACAUCUGCACAGAUCUGAAUUUAGCAGCAGAUCUGAAUUUAGGCUGAAUACAUCUGCACGGGGGGAGAGGCAGAACUUUGGGCUGCUGUGAUUGUGGAUUCACCCUUUGAAGCAUGGCUAAGCAAACAGGAAGUUUAAAGUUUCCACCCAAGAUGCUGCUCUGAAAGAGCUGCAGUUCCCGCACAGUUAGCCAACAGUUGAGCAGUAACAAUUUGGAUUAUGACUUAGAAGGUGGGUACCUAUGCUGUGCUUAAAUUGCAUUAGAAGUGUCUAUGCUUUCCCCCUGGGUAAUUAUAUUAAUCAAUUUCUAGUGCUAUUAUAUAUAAAAAAAAGUUGAACUCUUUAUUUGUGAUUUGUUUUGUGUGCAUCUGUUUAGUACCUCAUUAAGGACCUGAUACUGUUUUGUAGUCCUUUGAUUUAACUGAGCUCUGGGUAAAGUACUACAUUCUUGUCCAAUGACACCGUAUCUCCAGACACUCUCUAUACAUGGUCCCAGACAUUCCGUAAACAAAAUUUAUUAGAAUUUAUUAUUUAUUAUGUCAUGUUUGCCUGUUUAAUAUUCUGUAAAAAUGCAUGACAGCAACUUUACUCAGUGGUUAUCUUCAUAGACAAGAGGCUUUCUGUUACCACUCAUCAUGAGUAAAGAGUCAUGAACGAGCUGAGCGACUGUUACAGAUCCUGCCUGCUGCCUCUGUAUUUUUGCCCUUUCAGAUUUCAUAAUUAAUCCUCCCUCCCCUUCACUCCCAUAAAUACAUCUGCAAAUGACUUACCAGUGAUUGUGUGAGCAUUUCAAGCUUUUCCUUUUGUUUGGAAGCUGCCGUUGCUAUGCCACCAUCAUUUGUAUUGCGUUUUAUUUAGGUGGAUGUUAGGAGAUGAUUAGAUAGUUUAAUAGGCUCAUCCCAUUAUGCACAAUGUUCUGGUGGUGCGUGACCUCAUUUCAGUGACCUGGCAAUCGCUGUUCAAAAGAGAAAUGUUGGCUUCCACUUGGAAGUUGGACAGAAACACUAUCCUUGAUGAAUUUGUGUACUUACGUAGUACAAAAGAUGAAGAUUACCUUUGAUUAAUUUUGUGCUUGUGGGCAGAGAACAGUUUCGUUGGUGAUUAUUAUUUACAAUUAAUGUUUAUAUUUUACAUAACGUGUGGCAUCCAGGUGCCUUCCGCCACAGGAUCCUAAAAGUCCCUAAUCUUGUAAAGAUUUAUGUCGGUGCUUAACAAACGGUCCUGCCCUGUUUAAUGUCACUACUCACAGUGACUGUUAAGCUAGGUUAUAAGGUUUGCGUAUCAUUGGUGUGUCAAAAUAAAAAGCACAAGCACUAGAACUUUGGAAAGCAAUAGCAAGCAGGAAGUUUAUGAAAAUGGUGUAAACAAAUUAGUU